rnacentral:rRNA from 1 species
CGUCCCUGCUCCUUGCACACACCGCCCGUCGCUUCACCCGAGUUUGGUUUAGACGAGGCCGUCUCUAAUUGGGACGAUCGAAUCUAAGCUAGGCAAGGGGGGAG